CUCUAUGUGUAAUGCGUUAAACAUGACAUGAUUGACUAGCUUUCUAGGGUUUGAUUGCAUGUUUGAUAGGAUUAAUCUAGGUGCUUUCGCUUAGGUUAAUUAGCAUUGAAAAGUAAAAAAUGGGAAUUCAUUUGCUUUCGAAUGUUUCACAUGAUCAACUCCUUUCUCAUGACUUAGAUGAACAAUAUUAGGGUUUGAAUCAAUUUUAAUCAUAAGUUUCGGUUUUGAUCUUUGUUCUCUCAUUCCAUUCGUAUUUUUAUGUUUUUGCAUUUUAAUUGUUUUGUUAACCUAGUUUUAUUUUCGAAAAACCAAAAACAAAAUCCCCCCUUUUCGUGUAAAAUGUUUAUAGUUGUGAAUAUAUUUGUGAAUAUUAUACUUUGUUUUAAUUUUAAUUGUUUAAUUGUUUGAUAAUGACAGGUGUACCCUCAAUCCCCGGAAUAGAACGAUCCCUAUUUGCUUAUACUACUAACGAUAUUUUCAGGGUUAAAUUGCGCGCUUGCAAAUAGCGUUAUCACCAACCAGGAAAUCCUGUUCGAAAGAGGAAAUUGUGUGAAGCAAAACUCUGAAGCCCAUUGAGAUGUUGAUAGGAGCAUUUUAAAGUGGUACAUUGGAGUAAAUGAUGGUGAAAUGAGCAUUAGGUCCACACUUACCUAUAAAUGGUGGAGAAAAAUGGAAAUGUACUAAAAUGUCAAUUUUACACAUUUUCCUACUCCGGCUAGGAGAAACCAAGCCAAGCAAGGAAGAAGGAGCGGCCGCCUGACCAAAUGAACUCUAAAUGAGCUGAAACUUUCCAGAUCCAUUCUAGACAUCCUAAGGAUCAUUUCUUAUGAAGAGUGCCAGAGCUAGUUUUGAGUGGAAGGCCUUCAAACAGUCAGCCCAAUUUCCUGCAGAAGCAAAACUGGAAAACUGGACCCGUAAGGAGUCCAACAGAGAUUCUGGCCCAAAGGCAUGGAAAUAAAUUCUGAAAUUUUACCAAAAUGAUCUACACUCAUGGUAGAUCAUUUCAUAUGAAGAAGUCACGAGCCAAAUCUGAAGUCCUGUUGGAGAAAUAAUUGAAGGAAUAAAGGGGCAGAAACUGAUCUAAAAACAGCUCAACACCACAUGUUCAAGUUUCCUACCCACAUGAAGAAAGCUAGAUGCUUUUCUCUUUUUCCUUGGAUAUAUUUUUCUGCUCCAAUAGAUCAUCAUCACUUCCAUACUUCUGCACCUUCAUGCCUUGCUUUCAUUUCAUCAUUACUCCAUCUUUUCCAUAUUUUACAAACCACUUUCAUUAUUUUUCUUCCAUUUAUCAUUUCACUCUUCUUUUUCUUCCCUAUAUAAACACCUUCUCCUCUCAUUCUAAGGACAUUCCUUCAUCCAUUCCAUCUUCUUUGUCUCUCCAUUUCCUUUCCAUUUUCCUUUCCAACAUCCUCUAGGGCAAGCCACGAAGUUCAAGCAAGGCCAAGGAAGAGAAGAACCAAGCCGUGAGCAUCAUCAUCCAUCCUCCACCUUUGAAGCUUGCUUUCGAGUCUCAAAGGAUUCAACGUUAUUCACCCAUCUUCAUCUUCCAUCCACGGUGUAAUUCGACCUCUACUUUGUAACCUUUGCUUUGUAUUUCGUUGGUUUUGCCUUAGUUGACAUAUAUGUUUGAACAAUUGUUAAUUUCUGGAAUUUUAUGAUUAAUUGAGAAUUUUCAGAUUCAUA